GCGGGUCUAGUCUGCCGCUCCACCAGCAUCCAAGAGCCAUAAUCCCUACCUCCGAUCAUCGUAGAAUUUGGAGAUGCUUGAAUCGUUAACUAUACCUUAUUCAUCGGCUUUAUGAGAUGAGUGGUAUUCGGAUAAUUUUCUUUGUUAUGCCUAUAGUACCUAUAGUGUCCACACGAGAAACAGACCACAGGUAAGUUCCAUAUUCGAUCUUUUAGAGGUUGCCACACACUACCGUGUGUCUUAAAAAUUUUGGGCGCAAGUUGGUUCACACGGGCACAGAGAGUUACAAGGCCGUGUGACCGUGAGCUACACGGUCACAGAUAGUUAUACGGUUUGCACACACGGAUGUGUGGAAUAGUCACACAAGUGUGUGGAUAGCCACACGACCAUGUUUGGAGUCACACGAUCUGACCUAAGUCACACCACCUGGCCACACUACCGUGUGACCCCUAUUUUCACAAUUUUUCAUAAUUUUCUCAAAAAAUUUUUGAUUUAUUUAAAUCAAUCUUCGAUUGCUUUUUAAUCAUUUUUAGGGCUCCGAUAGCUUGAUUUAAGGCCCAAAUGUGUAUGUUUGCUAUGAUUGGAA
rnacentral:lncRNA from 1 species